UGGUCAGCUGUAGCGCCAGUCCAGGGAGCUCUUUCAGCGAAUAACUGACCGGCUUGUGUGAUUCGUAUUCCGCGCCAUCGUCGUCAUCGUCAUCGCCACCGCCGUGGUGUUCCAGCGCCGGUACGAAGUGUUCGUAACUGGGCGGCUUGUCGAAUCCUGCGAAGAAAACGGGUCCAAUAUUAUUAUACAGUAUACUACAUUAUAAUGUUAGAGUAUGUACGCGCAUCGACAAAUCUACACGAUAAAUUGCCGCAUAAACACGGAGUAAUUAUGUAAGCUCAUAUAGUCGCAACUAUAUGGGAGCUUGGUGAAGGUCCAGAUAAUAAUAAGUCAGGAAAAAUGUUUUCUUCAAUAAGGCAUACAAUUGGAUAAGAACAAUUGCCAACGAGUACGUAAUCGCCCAUGUGAUGCCUUUAGCCACGUUGACGAGCAGCGGUUCGAUGAUGGCGCCCACGAGCGGCGCGAGCACUUUUCCGAUGAUUAGUAUCAGAUGGACGAUCGACAGUUUCCCGUGGCCAU